rnacentral:rRNA from 1 species
UACAUGGGGUGCAAACGUUGCUCGGAAUUAUUGGGCGUAAAGCGUGUGUAGGCGGCUCGCUAAGUCUGAUGUGAAAUCCCUGGGCUUAACCCAGGAACUGCAUCGGAAACUAGCGGGCUUGAGUUCGGGAGAGGGUGGUGGAAUUCCUGGUGUAGAGGUGAAAUUCGUAGAUAUCAGGAGGAACACCGGUGGCGAAGGCGGCCACCUGGACCGAUACUGACGCUGAGACACGAAAGCGUGGGGAGCAAACGGG